UCGGCAGUCGCACGCGGAGACCCGUAGGUUCUGUUAGCGUGAUUAAAAUCGGUUAUCUUUUAAUACCAAAGUAGAUCGUCGAAAACAGAAUAAUUUUGAUACAUGAUGUAAGAGGGAGAGAAGUAGUUCAAUACGAGAUUGUAAGAAAGCCAAAAUUGUCGCUUAUUCUUCGAUAUAGUUUCACGUGCGCGUGUGUACUUAUGUGUCUACGAGUGUGAGUGGGUUAACUGGAGCACGUGUACGUAGCCAAUUAAGAAGAAAUAGUCGAAUCGAGCCAGUGGAUUUUCACAUUUUUUUUUUACCUUAUAUUUUAAAUAGAUCUGAGUUGUGUGAAACACUCUUGCUGCUCAGCGAUUCCAAAUGAAUCCGACAACAUUGAAGAAUUGGUUGGUACGCGGGGAGCUCGAGAAGCUUGAAAAUAUUGUAUUGGAGGGACGUGGCGCACGUUUGUUAGGCGAACAUUCUCCAGAUCUUAGAACCCGUGUCUUCCUGAAGGGACUCCCGAAUUACUUGACGAAGAUAUCACAAACUCACGACGCGGUUACGCGAGGUUCCUUGGUAGAAACUCAGAGAAUCGUAACGGAAGAACCAAAGAAAAAGUUGGCUAUCGCAAAAGAUCCUUCCGGAAUCCCACUCAUUCACAAGGCGAUUUAUCAUGAUCAACCAGAAAUAGUCGCAUGGCUUGUACAUAAUUACCCGAUCACGACUCAACAAAAGGACAAAGAAGGUAGAACGGCUUUACAUUAUUGCGCUGCCUGUAGAGAUCCUGGCACGGUGUGGGAUAUUUUGAUAGAGGGUGGCUGCGACGCCAGUGUUUGCGAUAAGCGUGGAAAUCCGGCGGCUUAUUAUCUGGAACACAGUUCCGAAGUGGAGUUAGCCGAAACGGAGAAGAUGUCUUAUCGCAAGACCAGCACUACGAAAGAAAGCUUUGACUUCAAGCCUUCCAAUAUAAGAAUAUGGAUUCAUAAUCGGGAUAUUAGAAAAUUGCAGCAGGUUCUCUGGGAAGGUCACGGUGGCAAAUUACGCCGCGAGACGAGCAACAAUCCGAGGGUGAAGAAGUUUUUGGAAGCAGUACCUUUUAUAAUGGGUACCGUGAAAGAUGUACACUCAGCGACUGUGAAAAACGAUUUGCAAGGUUUGAAAAAGAAAUUAGAGGAUCCAGUCUCGCCUAUUAUUUUAUGUAGCAAAGAUGCAAACGGUUUGAACGUUUUGCACAAGGCUGCCGGAUUGGGUUAUCUGGAAGUCGCUCGUGAAAUCCUUGAAAAGUAUCCAUCGAUAGUAACGGCCCAAGACAAUGAAGGUAAAACACCGUUACAUUAUGCGUCUGCGUUGAAGGACGACGGUGCCAUGUACAACCUAUUGACCGAGUAUGGAGCCGAUGAAAGCAAAUUAGAUAACAAACAGAAGGCAGCCGCUUUUUAUAAAAAUCGUCCAUUCGAUGUGGACCUUUCCAAUCUAGUCGUGGUACCGGAAGCGCCUCGAGUAUCGGGAAUGUCCUAUCCAAAAAAUUGGGACUGGAGAAUCUUGGAGGUAGCUGAAACGUUUGUACGUCCUCCAAAAAAAUCGCUAAGCGGCAAUGACGUCGACAGUGCAUUUGAAAGCACCGAAUCAUCAAUUAAGAGCUCAAACGAGAUUACCGAGAAUGCGAAAAUAGUCGAGGAACCGAAGAAUGAUUCGAUGAUGGAAGGAGAGGGUCUGUCCGAGCCUACGGCCGAAGAAGUCAAAGAGAACGAAGAAACGGAAGAAAAAUCGUCCGAUGAUGAUGUAAUCACUGGCGCGAAAGAAAAUGAGAAAGACGACGCAGAAGACGAUGAGAUAGACAACGCGAAGGACGAGGAGAUAGACGACGCGAAAGAUGACGAGAAAGACGACGAAACGACGGAAGAAAUAAAGGAAAACAAUGCAAAAGAGCAAGCUCCAGAGAUCGAGGAAUCUGAUAAGGUCGAGGAUACAACGAAUGAGCCGAUUGUUACCGAUCCAGAGGAGAGGAGUGAUCCUAGUACGGGUGACUCUGGAGUCGAUGAUCCAACGAACGAAGAUGAUCAGGUCAUAGUCGGUGAACACGAAGAGUUACCAGAAACGGAAUUGAACGAGGGUAGCAUGAUUCUGGAUCCGGAAGUGGAGAAUUUAUUGGAGAACGGAAAUAUGGAACAAUUGGCUGCCUUGGUAUUGAACGGCGAAGGUAGACGACUUGUUGGUCGGCAAUCAAAUAAUCCCGAACUUCAGGCUUUCAUCGACAACGUGCCUGCUUAUAUGGGAAAAAUUCACGCCGUACAUAUGGCAGCGAGAGAAGGGAAUCUAAGAGAUUUGCAAAGUGCAUUGGAUCGUCGUAAAUUUGCCAUAGCAAGGGACGGAUCGUCACCUCGUGGUGCAACGCCUCUUCACGUCGCAGUUGUCUUUGGGAAUACCGCUGUUAUCAGAUAUCUAGCAGGAAGAUUCCCGGAAACAGCACAUGCGAUCGAUCUCGACGGUAGAACUCCUUUGCAUUAUGCAACAACGCUGGCCGACAAUGGACAUUACUACAAUCUUCUUCUUAAUUUGGGAGCGAAUCCGCUUGUAAAAGACAAUUUAGGAAAUAAGGCGGAUCAUUACAAACUAAAUCAGGAUGACCUAUCACACAAAAGAUUACUUCGUGAUUUCGGAGCCAACGAAAAACUCGCUGAAGAAAUGUUGACGGACAAAGUACCCGGAGGAGACAAGUACUCGGCGCGACGAGACGCGAGCGAACCAGAAACAUUGGCAACCUUGGAGAGAUGCUUCCGCUUGUUGGCUGGCGCUAGACGAAAUUCGGCUGCUAGGACACCCUCGAAUCCUGGUACACUGCUUGGUCGUUGUCUGAAACGGCCGAUAUUCGAUCGCAUAAAGCACCGUGUGACACGCAUGGACCACAAUCUUUUUGAUGUUAUCUGGCCCGCUUUUAAGAAAUACGGUAAUCCUACCGCUACUAGCAAGACCAGCGAUAGUGGCCACUCCGUCGUGAGCAUGGACGAUACUGUCGAUAACGAAAUCAUCAUCGUGCCUGAUUACGAAAGCUAUGUGGUCUUUGGCGAACUUUUCGAUCCAAUUAUCAGAGAGUUGCAUUGCCUAACAGCGAGCGGAGAUAUUCCGGACCAUCCGUCAACUCGUUUUUUCGAUAUGUACGAUUCGGCCGAUGGCAAAGGAGAUUAUAUAGAUGAAGCAGCCGUGUCUGCUUUGGAAAAUUAUGAUUUGGAUCCAUCCGCAAAGUACGUUCAGGCCGGCAUCAUUGAAUGUUGCAGAAAUCUUGAGGAUUAUACUCUACCGUUGACUCUUACCGUGAAUCAACUCGAAGACGUCGAACGGGUGCUAACCAGCGAGUUUAUGAGCCCAGAAAUUUCCGUGAUAAUGGCGGAAGGUAGUAGCGAGGACGAGGCUGGAAAUUAUUUGACUUUGAGCGAACUUUUAGAUCAGCCGAGUCCAUUGAGAGCCCAAUUGGCAGCAGCGGGUCUCUUGCUGCCCAUAACAGAGUUCGAAAUCCACGAUGCUAGACGACUUCAUGGUAGACAUUGGCCGUACGGCCGUGGAGUUUACAUUACUGCUGCUGGUGAUUUGGCAGCUUGGGUCAACGUUCAAGAUCAUUUAAGAGUGAUAUCUCGUACUACGGACAACAGACCAGGCCUAAUCGGCCGAGCCUACGUAAAAUUAGCCAAAGUGAUGCGCCUAUUAGAUCAAAGAUUGCGAUUUAAGAAGGACGUUAAAUUUGGUUUCCUUAGCUCCAGACUCCACGCAAUCGGCAACACGUUAAAAUUUACUCUGAUCAUAAAGUUUUCCGAAUUGUCGAAAGAACGAGAUCAUCUUAAACAUUUAUGCGUCGUCCGUGGACUCAGCUUGAGCAAUACACCGCGCAAGGAUACUUAUAAAAUAUCCAAUCAGCAAUGUUUGUCAAUUUCAGAAUUGCAUAGCUUGCAAGACUUUUCAAGGGCUAUUUCAAAUAUUCUCUUACUAGAGAAAGAAUUAACAUUGAACAAUUCUAUCAGAAUUGCCAGCAUGAUCGCCGGUAUUUUUCGGAAAAAGACCAAUUCGAGAGGACAUCGAUCUUGAUCGACGACGAAACGACUCAAUCACGAUCGACGGGGACGACAAAUUUCCACCUUGCAAGAGAGAUAAUGAUUCUAACAGAGUAUCGUCGACAUCGAUCUAUUACGCUUCUAAGAAGAUAAAAUUUUAGAAUCAUUUUUAAGAGAUCUUUUAUGCUGAUUAUUUUUGUGACAAAUUCAUUUUAUUCCUCUUUCACAGUCCGAGUUAUUAAUAAUUGCUUCUUGUAGUAUACAGAAAGAAAGAGCUAUCGAGCGAGCGAGCGAGUGAGCGAGAGAGAGAGAGAGAGAGAGAGAGAGAGAGAGAGAGAGAGAGAGAGAGAGAUUUUUAAACUCUUCUCUACAAUGUGUUACGUUGGAAAGAUGUGUGAACGUUGUCUGACUCUUCCCGUGCAUCGGACAAUGUUAUUCAGUUAAAGUAAUUAUUUUAGUAAAAUAAAUAAAAUAUUGCGUGCUUGGAUUAUUUGCCGAGAAGAAGGUCGCAUUUUUUAUUAGAUGAUAAUCAACUCGAUAUUCCUAUAUUUCGCACAGAGGAAGGUCGUUAUUUAGCAUCGUCUUUAGGUGAUCCAUUGAUCAAGGGUCUAACUGAAGUGGCGAAUGCACGUCCGAACGAUCCAGUCACGUA